AAGGUGACUGCGACGGGGGGACGGAGAAGGCUAGGCCAUCCGGGCGACGGUCGUCCCGGUUUAAGCGUGUAGGUGGAAAGAGCAGGCAAAUCCGCUCUUUCGUGAACACUGAGGCGUGAUGACGAGCCGCUACGGCGGUGAAGUGGUUGAUGCCCGGCUUCCAGGAAAAGCCUCUAGGCAUCAGGUCACCUUGAAUCGUACC
rnacentral:ncRNA from 1 species